rnacentral:rRNA from 1 species
ACGGAAGGCAGCAGCUAAGAAUAUUCCGCAAUGGACGAAAGUCUGACGGAGCGACGCCGCGUGGAUGAUGAAGGCCGGAAGGUUGUAAAAUCCUUUUAUGACUGAGGAAUAAGUAUGGUGAGAGAAACGCCAUAUGGUGACUGUAGGUCAUGAAUAAGCAACGGCUAAUUACGUGCCAGCAGCCGCGGUAACACGUAAGUUGCGAGCGUUGUUCGGAAUUAUUGGGCGUAAAGGGCAUGUAGGCGGUUUUGCAAGCUUGGUGUGAAAUCCCGGAGCUUAACUCCGGAAUUGCGUUGAGAACUGCAUAACUAGAGUCACUGAGGGGCAAUCAGAAUUCCAGGUGUAGGGGUGAAAUCUGUAGAUAUCUGGAAGAAUACCAAUGGCGAAGGCAGGUUACCAGCAGAUGACUGACGCUGAGGUGCGAAGGUGCGGGGAGCAAACAGGAUUAGAUACCCUGGUA